rnacentral:rRNA from 1 species
GACGAAGGUGGCGAGCGUUGUUCGGAAUCACUGGGCAUAAAGCGCACGUAGGCGGCUAGGUAAGUCGGAUGUGAAAUACCUCGGCUCAACCGAGGAACUGCGUCCGAUACUGCCUGGCUUGAGGUCCGGAGGGGAGAGUGGAAUUCCCGGUGGAGCGGUGAAAUGCGUAGAGAUCGGGAGGAACACCCGUGGCGAAGGCGGCUCACUGGGCUGACCUUGACGCUGAGGCGCGAAGGCGUGGGGAGCGAACAGG